rnacentral:rRNA from 1 species
UGGGGAAUAUUGCACAAUGGGCGCAAGCCUGAUGCAGCCAUGCCGCGUGUGUGAAGAAGGCCUUCGGGUUGUAAAGCACUUUCAGCGAGGAGGAAGGUGGUGAACUUAAUACGUCCAUCAAUUGACGUUACUCGCAGAAGAAGCACCGGCUAACUCCGUGCCAGCAGCCGCGGUAAUACGGAGGGUGCAAGCGUUAAUCGGAAUUACUGGGCGUAAAGCGCACGCAGGCGGUUUGUUAAGUCAGAUGUGAAAUCCCCGGGCUCAACCUGGGAACUGCAUUUGAAACUGGCAAGCUAGAGUCUCGUAGAGGGGGGUAGAAUUCCAGGUGUAGCGGUGAAAUGCGUAGAGAUCUGGAGGAAUAUCGGUGGCGAAGGCGGCCCCCCUGGANGAAG